rnacentral:lncRNA from 1 species
GCAUGUAACAACUUAACAAUCUGGUACUCCACGCCACAACAGCAGUAGGAAACCUUGGUGUAUCUGUAUACAACUUGGCAUGGGUAGUACUGUGCACAUUUUAAAUAAUAGCAUGAACGUAAACAAGAUAAUUAAACAUGUGAAAUGGUGUUUGUUAUUGAAACCUCAGAUAAAAAGCAAGCUUCAAGUAGUAUGUGUGAGGGUUCUCGCUUAAUGUACGUGUUAGGCAGUGUAUGAGUUAUCAUUGUGUGGUAGUCAGGCUUAGGCAUAGGAGAACACCCGGAGGGUUAUUAUUUACAAAUGAGUCUGCAGUAGUUGGGUAUAUAUGUGUAUGCAUUGAGUCGCUGAUCUGGGAAGUGGGGGUGCCGUCACUAUGCCAGUAUGUUUGGACUGUAGUGAAUGUACCAUGGGGUAACAGAGUGGUUAAGUAGUCAAAAGAGGGGAAAAUAGGAAUAAGACUAUGUCGCCACCGUCAUAUGAGUGGUUUGCAUGAGGGCCGGUAAGACCCGUGUGGGUUGUACGUGUCUUACAUAUGAGCCGUGGGGGUGCGGCGUGUGCCUGCGUCCAGCUGUGGGUGUUAACGUGGUGGCGUAGUCAUGGAUUCUGUCGCUGAGGGGUAAGUGAAGAAUUGUGCCUGAUGUUGGGCAAGUGCUGAGAUGUUAAAUAAAGAAAUAAACAAUAACAAAAAAAAAUAACAAUUAGGGUGUGACCGUGACCGAGGAUCUCGGUCGCUUGUGGGAAGCAUUUGCUCCCCCUUCCCCUCCAAUCAGCGGACGUGUCCUUGCUGGGAGUUAGUUCCUCCUGUGCCCCGGUGACCCAUAGGCAUAAGAGUGGGAGGAGGGUGCGUUAGGGGGCAGAUGAAUACUGAGCCAGUCUGUCGGAGGGGUGGUGGGGUGUAUCUCAAGUCCCGGCUGGGUGAGUGAAGCUGCAAUGUCCCAGUCCUAGUAUAUGUUCAGUGGGAGAUGGGUUCCGUUGCCUUUAAGUAGUGGCUCGGGCGUAGGGCUCCGCAGCGGCCGAUCGGGGCUCAAACACUGCCGCCGUCUGUGGGUUUCUAGUGGUGCUGGUGCUUGGGCAGGUUGUCUUGGGUCAUGGCUGUCCCAGUGAGGCCCAUGGUAUGAAGGAGUCCCAGGAAGGAUGUAUUUCCCAAGUAAGUGUAUUAAUCUCAUAAGAGCAAGCAUUAAGCUGCUAGGAUAGGACCUGCUAACAAUAGGGUACAUUGACGGUGUGGCAGGCUUAUGCAAUAUAUGAUCAUAUAAUGUAACUAAACCCCCAUUAUUUUUGCCUAGGUGAGGUGUUUUUAAAUAAAACUACUACAAUCUCUAAGAUUUGAAAUCAUUGUAUAGUGAAUAAGCGAGUGUGCUGGAUUCUGUAUUUUAUAUAUUUUGGUCCCAGCAGCACCCUAUAAUGUAUGCAUGUUCAGGUGAGUACAGCCCUUUUGGAUUUGGGUGUGUAUAUAUAUACACACACUUACAAUGGGGGUGCAUCAGAGCACUCUUGGCACAAUAACCACUACAGCUUGCAAGAGUGGUAAUGCUUCCUGGAACCUUUCUUUAAAGCAGGGUACAGGUUUUACUUACCUGAAGUGGUUAAUCAUGGCUGCUGCCAUCAUAUUCUUGGGGCACCUCUUCAGUUUCUUGCGCAUCACCUGCCAAAGCUGUUGGCUUGCGCAUACACAAGAGUACAACACUAAGGUCUAUGAAAAGGCCCACAAGACCUCCAUAGAUCAAUGUCUGCAUCCCACAGCUGUCACUUUGAUGGCUGCUGGGAUGGGACAAACGAUGUCUGCAAAGCUCUGCCUUUUGUCAAAAUCAGGUAUGUCCAUAAGUGCCUUCUUUCUCUUAUGGUAUCUUGCAAUUGAGUUAGAAUUUCAAUGAAAUUCCAACGCAGUCAGCAUUAGUAUUUCAUAAAGAUUUUAUCUUUGUUACAUACUGAAAAGUAAGAGAGCUGCUUUAAGGUCUGAAAUGGUCCCAUAGUGCACACUGGUCUUAUACAUUGAUUUAAAAAUUGUGAAUGUACAUUAUAGAAACAUAGAAUGUGACGGCAGAUAAGAACCAUUCGGCCCAUCUAGUCUGCCCAAUUUGCUAAAUACUUUCAUUAGUCCCUGGCCUUAUCUUAUAGUUAGGAUAGCCUUAUGCCUAUCCCACGCAUGCUUAAACUCUUUUACUGUGUUAACCUCUACCACUUCAGCUGGAAGGCUAUUCAAUGCAUCCAUAACCCUCUCAGUAAAGUAAUACUUCCUGAUAUUUUUAUACCUUUGUCCCUCUAAUUUAAGACUAUGUCCUCUUGUUGUGGUAGUUUUCUUCUUUUAAAUAGAGUCUCCUCCUUUACUGUGUUGAUUCCUUUAUGUAUUUAAAUGUUUCUAUCAUAUCCCCCCUGUCUCGUCUUUCUUCCAAGCUAUACAUGUUAAGUUCCUUUAACCUUUCCUUGUAAGUUUUAUCCCGCAAUCCAUGAACCAAUUUAGUAACCCUUCUCUGAACCCUCUCUAAGGUAUCAAUAUUCUUCUGAAGAUACGGUCUCCAGUACUGCGUACAAUACUCCAAGUGAGGUCUCACCCGUGUUCUGUACAAUGGCAUGAGCACUUCCCUCUUUCUACUGCUAAUACCUCUCCCUAUACAACCAAGCAUUCUGCUAGCAUUUCCUGCUGCUCUAUUACAUUGUCUGCCUACCUUUAAGUCAUCAGAAAUAAUCACCCCUAAAUCCCUUUCCUCAUAUGUUGAGGUUAGGAUUCUAUCAAAUAUUCUGUACUCUGCCCUUGGGUUUUUACGUCCAAGAUGCAUUAUCUUGCACUUAUCCACAUUAAAUGUCAGUUGCCACAAUUCUGACCAUUUUUCUAGUUUACCUAAAUCAUUUGUCAUUUGGCUUAUCCCUCCUGGAACAUCAACCCUGUUACAUAUCUUAGUAUCAUCAGCAAAAAGACAUACCUUACCAUCAAGACCUUCUGCAAUAUCACUAAUAAAAAUAUUAAAGAGAAUGGGUCCAAGUACAGAUCCCUGAGGUACUCCACUGGAGACAAUCCAAACUUCGAAUAUAUUUCAUUAACUACAACCCUCUGUUGCCUGUCACUCAGCCACUGCCUUACCCAUUCAACAAUAUUGGAAUCCAAACUUAAAUAUUGCAGUUUAUUGAUAAGCCUUCUAUGUGCAACAGUGUCAAAAGCCUUACUGAAAUCUAGGUAAGCAAUGUCUACUGCACCACCCUGAUCUAUAAUUUUAGUUAUUAUCUUUAGGUUUCUCUGAGGAACAGCAGCAAAUCCUUUCAAGCCAUACAAGUUGCGAUCUAGGGCCUCUAUGGAUCACAUUUGUUGUUCCAGCCUUUAUCUCACAGGGCAUUCUGUUGCCUUUUCUUCCCUGGUAAAGAAAAGGCAACAGGAUGCAAUUGUCAUCCACCUGAUCUAAAAGAAAACAUGAUUCAUCAGAUCAGGCAACCUCCUUCCAUUGCUCCAUGGUCCAGUUCUGAUGCCCAUGUCCCCAUUGAAGGCGGUUUCACUGGUGUACAGGGGUCAUCUUUGGCACUCUGACUGGUGUGCAGCUACGCAGCAAGUUGUAAUCUGACACCUUUCUAUCAUGGGCAGCAUUUAGUAUUUCACCAAUUUGAGCUACAGUGGCACUUGUGUGUUUGGACCAGACUGGCUAGCCAUCGCUCCCCGAAUCCAUCAAUGAACCAUCACUAUUUAGCCCUUUGUCAAAGUCUCUCUUCUUUGCUCGCCCAUUUCCGAUCUUUUUUGUAUGCCCAUUUUCCCUCCUUCCAACAAAUGAAAUUCAAGAGCAGACUGUUCACGUGCUGCCUGAUAUCUCCAAUCCAUUGACAGGUGUCACUGUAAUGAUAUUAACUUCACCUGUUUUAUGUUGUGGCUAACCAGUGUAGAGGCUGUAACACAUGUCCACUUUGAUUUUAAAAGGAACACGGCAACCCCUAACAUAAGUAGUCAAACAGUUACAUCUUACAGGAGGUUUGCCGGAUGCGACAACCUUUCUCCUGUAAAGAAGAAAAAGAGCCUGGAGUGGGCACUCUCAGCCAAUGAUUUAGCCCAGCGGGGAUUAUGCAAAACGUGGAUAGGGACUAGCACUUGUUUCUAACUGUAUAAUAUACCAAUGUAUGUAGAACAAUCAUAUGUAAAUAAGCAGCUAAACAUUUGUGUGACUCCUUACAAUAUCACUAAACAAAUAUACAAAAAGAAAAAGAAUGUAGCGCUUUUGUAGUGGAUAAACAAACUAUCACCUUUUAGUUUGCAUAGGAGGUAAAUUUUCACUUUGGUCUCAAAUUAGUUGAAAUCUAUAAAAGAUAAUCAAACAUAGUGUAGAUGGUAGAUAGCAAAAGGGUAUAUAUAUGAUCUAUACAUACUCACAAACAAGAGAGCUGCGGACCCAUCUCUAGUUUGAAUCGCUUCUGGGUCCGUGUAGACGACCCACCCCUACUGUUGAUGUAUAUCUUGUCCUGAAGGGGAAUUAACACACAAAACAUUGCGCAGUAUUGCUUGUGAUGAUAAGGUAUAAAGUUAGGUUCCCAAAUGGGUACUUACAAGCCAGGAGUCUAAAUUGACUCUGUAUGUGAGCGUUGUGCAGAUUAGGGACUGCACUGCCAUAUGCAGAAUGAUGAAUGUAGAACCAGGAUGUAAAGAUGCUAAAAUAAAACAAAAUUUAUUAAUACCAUCUAUAAAAUAAAAAUGGCACAACAGCAGGGAUGAGCUCAACAGCACUGCAGAAGCU